rnacentral:rRNA from 1 species
UACGUGGGGUGCAAGCGUUGCCCGGAUUUAUUGGGCGUAAAGGGCUCGUAGGCGGUCUGUCACGUCGGGAGUGAAAACUCGGGGCUUAACCCCGAGCCUGCUUCCGAUACGGGCAGACUAGAGGUAUGCAGGGGAGAACGGAAUUCCUGGUGUAGCGGUGAAAUGCGCAGAUAUCAGGAGGAACACCGGUGGCGAAGGCGGUUCUCUGGGCAGUAACUGACGCUGAGGAGCGAAAGCGUGGGGAGCGAACAGG